UACAGAGGUCUCAAGCGUUGUUCGGAUUCAUUGGGCGUAAAGGGUGCGUAGGCGGCGCGGUAAGUCGGGUGUGAAAUCUUGGAGCUUAACUCCGAAACUGCAUUCGAUACUGCCGUGCUUGAGGACUGGAGAGGAGACUGGAAUUUACGGUGUAGCGGUGAAAUGCGUAGAUAUCGUAAGGAAGACCAGUGGCGAAAGCGGGGUCUCUGGACAGUUCCUGACGCUGAGGCACGAAGGCCAGGGGAGCAAACGGG
rnacentral:rRNA from 1 species